GGGUUGUGAGGUUAAGCGACUAAGCGUACACGGUGGAUGCCCUGGCAGUCAGAGGCGAUGAAGGACGUGCUAAUCUGCGAUAAGCGUCGGUAAGGUGAUAUGAACCGUUAUAACCGGCGAUUUCCGAAUGGGGAAACCCAGUGUGUUUCGACACACUAUCAUUAACUGAAUCCAUAGGUUAAUGAGGCGAACCGGGGGAACUGAAACAUCUAAGUACCCCGAGGAAAAGAAAUCAACCGAGAUUCCCCCAGUAGCGGCGAGCGAACGGGGAGGAGCCCAGAGCCUGAAUCAGUGUGUGUGUUAGUGGAAGCGUCUGGAAAGGCGCGCGAUACAGGGUGACAGCCCCGUACACAAAAAUGCACAUGCUGUGAGCUCGAUGAGUAGGGCGGGACACGUGGUAUCCUGUCUGAAUAUGGGGGGACCAUCCUCCAAGGCUAAAUACUCCUGACUGACCGAUAGUGAACCAGUACCGUGAGGGAAAGGCGAAAAGAACCCCGGCGAGGGGAGUGAAAAAGAACCUGAAACCGUGUACGUACAAGCAGUGGGAGCA
rnacentral:rRNA from 2 species